ACGAACGCUGGCGGCGUGCUUCACACCUGCAAGUCGAACGGUGAAGCGCCUUCCUUUUUGGUGGGUGUGGAUGAGUGGCGAACGGGUGAGUAACACGUGAGUAACCUGCCCCCUUCUUCUGGAUAACCGCAUGAAAGUGUGGCUAAUACGGGAUAUUCUGGGUCUGUCGCAUGAUGGGUCUGGGAAAGAUAUUGUUUCGGUGGGGGAUGGGCUCGCGGCCUAUCAGCUUGUUGGUGGGGUGAUGGCCUACCAAGGCGGUGACGGGUAGCCGGCCUGAGAGGGUGGACGGUCACACUGGGACUGAGACACGGCCCAGACUCCUACGGGAGGCAACAGUGGGGAAUAUUGCACAAUGGGCGCAAGCCUGAUGCAGCGACGCCGCGUGAGGGAUGGAGGCCUUCGGGUUGUGAACCUCUUUCGCCAGUGAAGCAGGCCUGCCUCGUUUGUGGGUGGGUUGACGGUAGCUGGAGAAGAAGCGCCGGCUAACUACGUG
rnacentral:rRNA from 1 species